rnacentral:ncRNA from 1 species
UAAAAUGGAUUGCGCCUACUCCACUAAAAUAGACGCUGUUCAUUAAAAAAGGAGGAAAAACCCGUUAGGUUCACGGUGCGGCAGAGUGGAGACCUGUCGUAACGCGCAGCGCCAAAGGCGUGCGCGAGAGCAUUUGCGCGGAGGUGCUGUGCUCAGAGCCAAAUGUAAUGGCA